AUUGAACGCUGGCGGCAGGCCUAACACAUGCAAGUCGAGCGGAUGAAAGGGGCUUGCUCCUGGAUUCAGCGGCGGACGGGUGAGUAAUACGCAGGAAUCUACCUAGUAGUGGGGGAUAACGUUUCGAAAGGGACGCUAAUACCGCAUACGUUCUGAGGAAGAAAGCAGGGGAUCGUAAGACCUUGCGCUAUUAGAUGAGCUUGCGUCCGAUUAGCUAGUUGGUGGGGUAAAGGCCUACCAAGGCGACGAUCGGUAACUGGUCUGAGAGGAUGAUCAGUCACACUGGAACUGAGACACGGUCCAGACUCCUACGGGAGGCAGCAGUGGGGAAUAUUGGACAAUGGGGGCAACCCUGAUCCAGCCAUGCCGCGUGUGUGAAGAAGGCCUCGGUUGUAAG
rnacentral:rRNA from 1 species